AAGAAAGCAGCUGAUGAGACCGAGACUAUUCUGGAAACAACCCCGGCUGGCAAAAGCGAUGGGGAAGGUGCACUUCGAGCAUUCAUUAAGCGCCAGGGCCAAAAGUUAAGGCGGCUAUCAAACCUUUUCGGUUGUCGUGACCCCGAGUAUGUAUCACCAGAACGGUCUAGGUCGGCGACACCAUCAGAUCCCGCUUCGGGGUAGGGCCAUGGCGAACCUUUCGAGGAUGAGGAUGUGGGUGUGGUCACCCAAGAGGUUGCUGAUGAUAUGACCGUGGGGACGUACCAGGCUCGGUCUGCAUACGAGUUGAAGCCUAGGAAGGGAAUCAACAAGUACACACCUGAAGAGUUCACCCAAAGAGGCCAAAGAGGCAAAAGGACGGUCGACACCUCGCGGAUGGCGGCUUUGUAUGACUAUUUGGAUGACUAUGUAGAUGACGUGGAGGAACCGGAGCCGGAGCGGGUUCCUCUUCCUAGGAAGGUGAAGAAGAUAAGCGUCAAGAGGGGGGGGAGGAGCCAUCAAGCGCGGAAAGCACUAGUCAUCGUCCUUUGUUGAACUUAGAGUGGAAUUUGUUAUGUCGUUGAACUUGGAGUGGUGGUAGCUAUUAGUAAUGUGGAAUUUGUUAUGUCGUUGAACUUGGAGUGGUGGUAGCUCUAUGUUAAACUUGAACUUAUUGUGAUGGUCCUUUCUAAGAAAUGAUGUCUUUGGUGAACCCUUUUUGAACCUUAAUGUUUAUUAUACGAAAUAUUGAACU